AUUGAACGCUGGCGGCAGGCCUAACACAUGUAAGUCGAACGAGUGGCGGACGGGUGAGUAAUGUCUGGGAAACUGCCCGAUGGAGGGGGAUAACUACUGGAAACGGUAGCUAAUACCGCAUACCAUCGGAUGUGCCCAGAUGGGAGUAGCUCUGAGGUGGGGUAACGGCUCACCCAGGCGACGAUCCCUAGCUGGUUUGAGAGGAUGACCAGCCACACUGGAACUGAGACACGGUCCAGACUCCUACGGGAGGCAGCAGUGGGGAAUAUUGCACAAUGGGCGCAAGCCUGAUGCAGCCAUGCCGCGUGUAUGAAGAAGGCCUUCGGGUUGUAAAGUACUUGCAGCGAGGAGGCGUUACUCGCAGAAGAAGCACCGGCUAACUCCGUGCCAGCAGCCGCGGUAAUUC
rnacentral:rRNA from 1 species